rnacentral:misc_RNA from 1 species
AACCAUAGAAACCUGCGGAGUACCUGCGGAGGGAUCAUUAUAGUAUAUGGAAUCUCCAUUCUAUAAACCCACUCUGCGUAUCUUGUAACCGUUGCUUCCAUGGGACUUGGUUCCGCCACACCGGCUUCACGGCUGGUGAGCGCCCAUGGAAGGAGAAACAAAACUCUUCUUUGAAAUGUAGUCAGUCUGAACAAGUUUUUAUAAACGUUAAAACUUUUAACAAUGGAUCUCAGAUCGGAA